UUAAAUGCCUUAACGAAAGAGCAGUAGGUUCAGCGCCGACCCCAGAGAGAAAACCAGGUCACUGGAAGGUUUUUGGUUGGUUAGGAUCGAAUUCACUUUCAGAGCAGAGAUUGGGCGUCGCAGUCAUUAUUGACCGCCACAAAAAAUCUUCCGGUUGAUUAACCGUUAUUAAAUUACCGAGUGUACUUAUUGAUAAGUAAACAAGGGUGGUACCGCGAAAGCUUCGUCCCUUUA
rnacentral:ncRNA from 1 species